rnacentral:rRNA from 1 species
UACAGAGGUCUCGAGCGUUAGGCGGAAUCACUGGGCUUAAAGCGUGUGUAGGUGGAUCGUUAAGUACCUUGUGAAAUCCCCCGGCUUACCCGGGGAACUGCAUCCCAUACUGCUGGACUUGAGUGCGGGAGAGGAUGGAGGAAUUCCUGGUGUAGCGGUGAAAUGCGUAGAUAUCAGGAGGAACACCUGUGGCGAAGGCGUCCAUCUGGCCCGUUACUGACGCUGAGGCGCGAAAGCUAGGGGAGCAAACGGG